rnacentral:rRNA from 1 species
UGGCGGACGGGUGAGUAACGCGUGAGGAACCUGCCUUUCAGAGGGGGAUAACGUCUGGAAACGGACGCUAAUACCGCAUAACAUCAGAGGGUCACAUGGACUUCUGAUCAAAGGAGCAAUCCGCUGAAAGAUGGACUCGCGUCCGAUUAGCUAGUUGGCGGGGUAAAGGCCCACCAAAGCGACGAUCGGUAGCCGGACUGAGAGGUUGAACGGCCACAUUGGGACUGAGACACGGCCCAGACUCCUACGGGAGGCAGCAGUGGGGGAUAUUGCACAAUGGAGGAAACUCUGAUGCAGCAACGCCGCGUGAGGGAAGACGGUUUUCGGAUUGUAAACCUCUGUCCUCAGGGACGAUAAUGACGGUACCUGAGGAGGAAGCUCCGGCUAACUACGUGCCAGCAGCCGCGGUAAU